CUGCAGCAUUGAACUGCAAGGUUUGUGGAAUAUUAUGACUUGAUUUAUGUGUCAACGAGAUACAUUGUUGUUUUUAACAAGGAGCUUUGUCUAUUGCUGCAUAUGGCUUGGUUCAUGACUUGCUCUUGGUCUGCAACAAGGCUUAUUACAUUGGCUGAUGCAUUGCAGGAUUUGCAGCAGGUAACAAUUCUUGUCAUUCUGCAACUGACUGCAGCCUGGUCUUGCACAGUAUGUUAGUUCCAUUUCUUGACUUGCAUUGCCAACUGUUAUGGAUUUUGUUGGUGUAGCCAUUGGAAUCACAUUUGUCUCCUUUUGCAGGUUGGUAUUCUAUGAUAGAAAUGCAUAUUCAUUCAAGGUCUAAUUUGUUAGAAUGAAUUGCAACAAAGUGUUGCAAAAUUCUGCAAUACUUCAUGACAAGCUGGAUAUGGUACGGCGACAACUUGGUCAGCAAAGUGGCAAAGUAUCUCCAUCUUUCACAUUGCUUGAUAACUGUGGAUGCCAAGCCCUGUAUGAAGCUAUUGAAUGGCUUUGGUUUCCCUUGUAGGCCAUGAAUGCGUAUGGUAAUGGUGGGUGAUCAAAGCAUGCUACCAAGCGACCAAACUUGAAUUUGAAUCAUCGUGCACACAUGGAAAGCUCAAAGGCCAAGAAUGAAAAAUCAACCUUAGAAGUAAAAUUAGGAUUUGGAUUCUAGGAUGAGAAGGGUUUGAGUUGACUUUGGUCAAAGUUGACCAAAAAGUCAAUUGUUGACCAAAAAGUCCAUUGUUGACCAAAAAGUCAACUGUUGACCAAAGUCAACAAUUGGUCAACACACCUUUCUUUGUAUUUUUUCCAUGUAAUGAACCUUUUAUGAUCAUGUAAUGAAUGACAUUUCCUCAUUUGAAUGAACUUGGAUUGGUAUUUGAACUGAA